UAAGGAAUAUUGGUCAAUGGGCGCAAGCCUGAACCAGCCAUGCCGCGUGCAGGAAGACGGCCCUAUGGGUUGUAAACUGCUUUUAUCAGGGAAUAAACCCCCGCUCGUGAGCGGGGCUGAAGGUACCUGAAGAAUAAGCAUCGGCUAACUCCGUGCCAGCAGCCGCGGUAAUACGGAGGAUGCAAGCGUUAUCCGGAUUCAUUGGGUUUAAAGGGUGCGCAGGCGGAUUGGUAAGUCAGGGGUGAAAUCCCACAGCUCAACUGUGGAACUGCCUUUGAUACUGUCAGUCUAGAGUAUAGUUGAAGUGGGCGGAAUGUGUCAUGUAGCGGUGAAAUGCUUAGAUAUGACACAGAACACCGAUCGCGAAGGCAGCUCGCUAAGCUAUAACUGACGCUCAUGCACGAAAGCGUCGGGAUCAAACA
rnacentral:rRNA from 1 species